rnacentral:RNase_P_RNA from 1 species
AGAAGGAUAGGCAAUCGCUGACUUUGACAAAGUGAUAAGUUGGAGGAAAGUCCGGACUUCACAGGAACAGAAUGACGGCUAACGGCCGCCCGGCGCAAGCUGAGGGACAGUGCCACAGAAAAUAAACCGCCCUGCUAUACGCAAGGUAAGGAUGAAACGGCGAGGUAAGAGCUCACCACUUAACUGGCAACAGUUCAAGGUAAGGUAAACCCCAUUCGAAGCAAGACCAAAUAAAGUGGUGGCGAUUUGAUUCGCAAGAUGUCGUCCCUGCAUUGCCCAAAUAGGUAGGUUGCUAGAAGAUUAAAGUAAUUUAAUUUCCAGACGAAUGAUUGCCCUCGACAAAAUCCGGCUUACAGUCCUUCUCA